rnacentral:misc_RNA from 1 species
GUUUCCGAUGGAUCGAAGUCAGAUUGUUCUGUUAGGACUACCGAUCUUCUUGCUUUUUACUGAUAUUGUGAAUCUUUUCACUCCUCCGCCUCCGAAGCCUGUCAAUCAUCCUCCACCUCGAGUUCACUACCAGCCUAAAUCUCAAUCAGUCAUCCAGGAACCGCUUGAAUUUCCUACGGAGAAACGGAGCGUAAUCGGAGGAAUUGGCCAGGGCAGCGUUAUUAAUAUCAAUUUCUGCGUUUCUUGUUCUUACAGAGGCACUGCGAUAACCAUGAAAAAUAUGCUGGAGUCCUCAUUUCCUGGAGUUGAAGUUAUUUUGGCAAAUUACCCCCCACCACUCCCAAAGCGCCUUCUUAGUAAAGUAGUACCCGUAGUUCAAUUUGGAAUUAUUGGUACAAUAAUGGCAGGGGAACAUAUCUUUCCUAGGUUGGGGAUGGCACCACCGCCUUGGUACUAUUCAUUGCGUGCAAAUAGGUUUGGAAGCAUUGCAAGCACUUGGCUGUUUGGAAAUUUUAUCCAGUCAUUCUUACAAAGUUCCGGAGCCUUCGAAGUAUAUUGCAACGGUGAAAUGGUCUUUUCUAAGUUGAAGGAGCAGAGAUUUCCUGGUGAAAUUGAGUUGAGAGAUCUUAUUGGAAGGAAACUUUCUGGGUCGAGAUUUGUCGACAACUCUGGAGGGGUUUGGUCAUAGGUAUGUGACUUCUUGUGAUCAUUGCCAUCACAUUAGCAACUGGUGAAGUCUAAUCUAGAUAAUCUAAUCCAAGUUUAUAAUAGCCAAGGGAGGAGCUUGUCUUUGAGGGAUUUUCAAUUUUAUAUAUGUCUAUUAGUUAUAUACUGAACAUUACUCCCUACUCCCUACUACCUUUUUCUUACGAAACCCG